AUGAACGCUGGCGGCGUGCCUAAUACAUGCCAGUCGAGCGAACAGACGAGGAGCUUGCUCCUCUGACGUUAGCGGCGGACGGGUGAGUAACACGUGGAUAACCUACCUAUAAGACUGGGAUAACUUCGGGAAACCGGAGCUAAUACCGGAUAAUAUAUUGAACCGCAUGGUUCAAUAGGGAAAGACGGUUUUGCUGUCACUUAUAGAUGGAUCCGCGCCGCAUUAGCUAGUUGGUAAGGUAAAGGCUUACCAAGGCAACGAUGCGUAGCCGACCUGAGAGGGUGAUCGGCCACACUGGAACUGAGACACGGUCCAGACUCCUACGGGAGGCAGCAGUAGGGAAUCUUCCGCAAUGGGCGAAAGCCUGACGGAGCAACGCCGCGUGAGUGAUGAAGGUCUUCGGAUCGUAAAACUCUGUUAUUAGGGAAGAACAAAUGUGUAAGUAACUAUGCACGUCUUGACGGUACCUAAUCAGAAAGCCACGGCUAACUACGUG
rnacentral:rRNA from 1 species